rnacentral:rRNA from 1 species
UACGUAGGGUGCGAGCGUUAAUCGGAAUUACUGGGCGUAAAGCGUGCGCAGGCGGUUUUGUAAGACAGAUGUGAAAUCCCCGGGCUUAACCUGGGAAUGGCAUUUGGGACUGCAAGGCUUGAGUGCGGCAGAGGAGACUGGAAUUCCUGGUGUAGCAGUGAAAUGCGUAGAUAUCAGGAGGAAUACCGAUGGCGAAGGCAGCCCCCUGGGAUAACACUGACGCUCAUGCACGAAAGCGUGGGGAGCAAACAGG